rnacentral:ribozyme from 1 species
GAGUAAUGAGAAGAAGAGGAAGCAACCACCAACAUGUUACGUGUAUUAUAGUCCCUCGUGUCGCACCUCUCACUUUUCCCGAUCAAUGUUUGUUCUUUCAGUUUUCUUUUCUUUUCUUUCUACUCAUGGU